GACGAGCUCUCCAAACGUUAUUCGGUAUCACUGGGCUUAAAGAGUUCGUAGGCGGCUUUGCAGGUGGGGUGUGAAAGCCCUCGGCUCAACCGAGGAAUUGCGCCCCAAACCGCAAGGCUUGAGGGAUAUAGGGGUAAGCGGAACAGAUGGUGGAGCGGUGAAAUGCAUUGAUAUCAUCUGGAACACCGGUGGCGAAGGCGGCUUACUGGAUAUUUACUGACGCUGAGGAACGAAAGCUAGGGUAGCGAACGGG
rnacentral:rRNA from 1 species